UAGUGAUAGAGCUUGAAUAUGAACUAAAUGAGUUCAAAAAGGACUUGUUAUCUUUGGGAGCUUUUAUACUUGAGCAAAAUAAAGUCGGAACGUUAACCACUUACGUGGUUUAUGCUUUAAGUAAUGACUCUGAUACCCAUGCGGUGAAUAUUUCGAAACAGGCCGCCUCGUUAUUGGUCCAUCUGGUCAAAUUUUGCAAUAAAAAUAACGAGUAUUAUCCCGACUUGAUAAAAAAUUUCCGGAUUGGCUCUUUUUCCACUCUUACUUUCAAAGUUGCUAUUUCCCAUUGGUUAAAUAAAUCUGCUCUUCUAUUUUCCUCUAUGCCUGAUACCUCCUGCUCCCCUUCUUCUCCAAAUAGAAAUCGAGAAAAAAUACUGAACAAAAUUGGCGCCAUCUCUAGUGCUCUCCUUGAAC